GAUGAACGCUAGCGGGAGGCCUAACACAUGCAAGCCGAGCGGUAUUAUUUCUUCGGAAAUGAGAGAGCGGCGUACGGGUGCGGAACACGUGUGCAACCUGCCUUUAUCUGGGGGAUAGCCUUUCGAAAGGAAGAUUAAUACUCCAUAAUAUAUUGAACGGCAUCGUUUAAUAUUGAAAGCUCCGGCGGAUAGAGAUGGGCACGCGCAAGGUUAGCUAGUUGGUGAGGUAACGGCUCACCAAGGCGAUGAUCUUUAGGGGGCCUGAGAGGGUGAUCCCCCACACUGGUACUGAGACACGGACCAGACUCCUACGGGAGGCAGCAGUGAGGAAUAUUGGUCAAUGGGUGCAAGCCUGAACCAGCCAUCCCGCGUGAAGGACGACUGCCCUAUGGGUUGUAAACUUCUUUUGUAUAGGGAUAAACCUACCCUCGUGAGGGUAGCUGAAGGUACUAUACGAAUAAGCACCGGCUAACUCCGUGCCAGCCGCCGCAGUAAUAC
rnacentral:rRNA from 1 species